GACGAACGCUGGCGGCGUGCUUAACACAUGCAAGUCGAACGGAAAGGCCCUGCUUUUGUGGGGUGCUCGAGUGGCGAACGGGUGAGUAACACGUGAGUAACCUGCCCUUGACUUUGGGAUAACUUCAGGAAACUGGGGCUAAUACCGGAUAGGAGCUCCUGCUGCAUGGUGGGGGUUGGAAAGUUUCGGCGGUUGGGGAUGGACUCGCGGCUUAUCAGCUUGUUGGUGGGGUAGUGGCUUACCAAGGCUUUGACGGGUAACCGGCCUGAGAGGGUGACCGGCCACAUUGGGACUGAGAUACGGCCCAGACUCCUACGGGAGGCAGCAGUGGGGAAUAUUGCACAAUGGGCGGAAGCCUGAUGCAGCAACGCCGCGUGCGGGAUGACGGCCUUCGGGCUGUAAACCGCUUUCGCCUGUGACGAAGCGUGAGUGACGGUAAUGGGUAAAGAAGCACCGGCUAACUACGUG
rnacentral:rRNA from 1 species